rnacentral:piRNA from 1 species
CACUACAUCAGUCUCUGUAAGCCAAUGAGC